GGCCCCGCUCGGGAUGCUGCUGCCGCGGGCGGGGGCCCGGACCCCGCCGCCGCUGGCGGCCCUGGCGCAGGUGCUGCGGCUGGAGCAGGGCCGCCGCACCGGCCUCCUGUUCCCGCUGCAGAAGCUGGAGCGGUACUUAGCUCCCGGCACCGACACGGCACGAUUCCGCCUCUUCCAGCCCGGCCUGCCCGACCUGCAGCGCGCAGAGGCGUUCUUCAAGUCCAGCCGCGACCACCCCAUCGACUACGUGAGCUCCGCCGUCCGCAUGGCGCACGUCCCGCUGCUCACCCUGCCCGAGGUGUGCUUCAUCGGCCGAAGCAACGUGGGGAAAUCAUCUUUAAUCCGGGCCUUGUUCUCACUGUCCCCAGAAGUGGAGGUCAGAGUGUCAAAAACCCCGGGCCACACCAAGAAGAUGAAUUUCUUCAAAGUAGGAAGGUACUUUACUCUGGUGGAUAUGCCAGGAUACGGCUACCGUGCCCCGCAAGACUUCGUGGAGAUGGUGGAGGCUUACCUGCAGGAACGGCACAACUUGAAGAGGACUUUUAUGUUAGUUGAUGGUGUAGCAGGGCUCCAGAAGACAGAUCAUAUUGCAGUAGAGAUGCUGGAAGAGUUUGGGAUUCCUUAUGUGAUAGUGUUAACAAAAAUUGACCGAGCUUCCAGAGGACUGUUAUUAAAGAAUGUACUGGCGAUCCAGGAGUAUGUGAAGGAGAAAACUCAGGGAUGCUUUCCUCAGCUAUUCCUGGUCAGUUCCCUGGAGUUUUCAGGGGUUCACCUGCUAAGGUGCUUUGUAGCCCAUGUUACUGGAAACCUGCCCGUGGCAGAGGCCAGCUGAAAAGACUGGUUCCUCACCUGCUCAGCACCUCCAGAACAACAGCAUUCUCCUGCUUAAGUGUUGUGGAAACAAAGUAGGACCAGAACCCAUUCACAGAAGAGUGAAAGGAGGGAGAAGAAGUUCUCCUCCACUGGAUCUUAUGUGAUGAGACUGUUGCUCUCACUCCUGAUGCAAGCACAGAAGGUGGUGUGUAGGGAUGGCACCAGCUCUGAUCUCCAUCAGGGAAGGCUGUUGAGGCUCAGACAACAGAAGGCACUGUACUCACUUCUUUUGAUUUCAUUCCUUGGGAUCCUUCACUGCUUCAUCAAGACUCUGACUACUCUCCAGUAUGUUCUUGUUUCUCUAAUGUCUGCAUCUCAGCUGCACCCUUCUUCAGCUUCCUAGAGAAAAAAUGUUGCCCUGUGUGAACAAGUUUAUUACCUAGGAGAGUGAGCCUCCUACUGGAGACGUAAUGUAUUUUUCUUUAUAAGGAAAAAUUAAGAGGAAGUUUUAUCUUAAACAAAACCUCACAAAGACACAAGAAACUUAUGUUUCUCAGGCAUCAGCAUUAACUGCUCACAACAAUUUAUGAAGGAUGUAAGCUGUUGUACAGUUCAGAAGUAGUAUUUAACAGGGCAAAACAAACACACUCGAAUCAAGAUCCAUGCUGAUUCAGCAGGAUGUCAGAACCACGGCUGCCUUUGUACCAGGACAUGAUAAAAGAUGCUGCACGGAUGCUUGGAGAUUCUUUUUCAUCUGAAAAAAAAAAUGUUAUUCGCCCAAAUUACAAAAGAUUUCAGAAAUUCUAGAAACUGGUGAUGUAAAAAAAAUAAAAUACGGAACAAUACCUGCCAA